rnacentral:rRNA from 1 species
GGAACCGGGAGAGGUAAGAGGUACGUACAGGGUAGGAGUGAAAUCUUGUAAUCCCGUGUGGGACCACCUGUGGCGAAGGCGUCUUACCAGAACGGGUUCGACGGUGAGGACGAAAGCUGGGGGCACGAACCGGAUUAGAUACCCGGGUAGUCCCAGCCGUAAACGAUGCUCGCUAGGUGUCAGGCAUGGCGCGACCGUGUCUGGUGCCGCAGGGAAGCCGUGAAGCGAGCCACCUGGGAAGUACGGCCGCAAGGCUGAAACUUAAAGGAAUUGGCGGGGGAGCACAACAACGGGUGGAGCCCUGCGGUUUAAUUGGACUCAACGCCGGACAACUCACCGGGGGCGACAGCAAUAUGUAGGCCAAGCUGAAGACUUUGCCUGAAUCGCUGAGAAGAGGUGCAUGG